rfam:Sorghum bicolor cultivar BTx623 chromosome 8, whole genome shotgun sequence.
AUUCCAUGAUGGGGACAUUCUAGAAUGUAGUCUUGGAAGCGCUCCCAUGCUUCUAGAACAAAUUCGUCAUGUUGUUGCUGAAAACUUGUAAUCUUCCCAUGGAGAGC